CACGAACGCUGGCGGCAGGCCUAAAACAUGCAAGUCGAACGAACCUUCGGGUUAGUGGCGCACGGGUGCGUAACGCGUGGGAAUAUCCCCUUCACUGCGGAACAACGUCGGGAAACUGACGCUAAUACCGCAUAAUGACUCCGGUCCAAAGAUUUAUCGGUGAAGGAUUAGCCCGCGUUGGAUUAGCUAGUUGGUGGGGUAAUGGCUCACCAAGGCGACGAUCUAUAGGGGGUCUGAGAGGAUGAUCCCCCACACUGGAACUGAGACACGGUCCAGACUCCUACGGGAGGCAGCAGUUAGGAAUAUUGGACAAUGGGGGCAACCCUGAUCCAGCCAUGCCGCGUGUGUGAAGAAGGCCUUAGGGUUGUAAAGCACUUUCAGCCGUGAAGAUAAUGACAGUAGCGGAAGAAGAAGCUCCGGCUAAAUUCGUGCCAGCCGCCGCCGUAACAC
rnacentral:rRNA from 1 species